rnacentral:rRNA from 1 species
AGAGUUUGAUCCUGGCUCAGGAUGAACGCUAGCUACAGGCUUAACACAUGCAAGUCGAGGGGCAGCGGGUUGAAAGCUUGCUUUCAAUGCCGGCGACCGGCGCACGGGUGCGUAACGCGUAUCAAACCUGCCUCAUACUCGGGGAUAGCCUUGCGAAAGUAAGAUUAAUACCCGAUGUUGUUAUGUUACCGCAUGGUGAUAUAACCAAAGAUUUAUCGGUAUGAGAUGGUGAUGCGUCCGAUUAGGUAGUAGGCGGGGUAACGGCCCACCUAGCCUUCGAUCGGUAGGGGUUCUGAGAGGAAGGUCCCCCACACUGGAACUGAGACACGGUCCAGACUCCUACGGGAGGCAGCAGUGAGGAAUAUUGGUCAAUGGACGGAAGUCUGAACCAGCCAAGUAGCGUGCAGGAUGACGGCCCUCCGGGUUGUAAACUGCUUUUAGUUGGGAAUAAAAAAGAGGACGUGUCCUCUAUUGUAUGUACCUUCAGAAAAAGGACCGGCUAAUUCCGUGCCAGCAGCCGCGGUAAUACGGAAGGUCCAGGCGUUAUCCGGAUUUAUUGGGUUUAAAGGGAGCGUAGGCGGACUGUUAAGUCAGCGGUUAAAGAGUGUGGCUCAACCAUACGAUGCCGUUGAAACUGGUGGUCUUGAGUGCACACAGGGAUGCUGGAACUCGUGGUGUAGCGGUGAAAUGCUUAGAUAUCACGAUGAACUCCGAUCGCGAAGGCAGGUGUCCGGGCUGCAACUGACGCUGAGGCUCGAAAGUGUGGGUAUCAAACAGGAUUAGAUACCCUGGUAGUCCACACAGUAAACGAUGUAUACUCGCGGUUUGCGAUAGAGUGUAAGCCGCCAAGCGAAAGCAUUAAGUAUACCACCUGGGGAGUACGCCGGCAACGGUGAAACUCAAAGGAAUUGACGGGGGCCCG